UUAUAUUUGAUAGAUUUAAACUACCUCUUGAAGCAUCAAAAACCUCUGUACAUCCUAUACUAAAAUAU
rnacentral:tRNA from 1 species